UAAGGCACCAAAGCAACAACAAAUCCCACACAAAACUAUUGCCAGUGUGCAGGCAGAGCUCCAGACCUCUGGAUAUAGCUGGCUGUGAUGCAGCUGCUGCAGCUGCUGAGGGAGGCAGCCUGGCAGCUCUUUAGACAGCGGGAUGGAAUUAAAUGUCCAGCAGUUCAGCUCCUUGGGACAGGAAAAGACGAAACACUUUUUACAGAAAAACGUAAGAAUUCAUUCUCAGCAACAUUAUGCAUAAUAGACAAAAAGGGGAAACAAUCCAAAUACCCAUUAGUAAGUAGGUGGAUAAAAAUGUAGCAGGAUCAUAGGAUAGAUUAUUUGGAAGCCAUUAAAGCAUCAAGUAUACACUUAGUACAUGCUAAGGAACUAAGUUUAACAAGUCAGUCACGAAGAAUAAUACUUCAUAGGGUUCCAUUUACUUGAAGUGUCCAGGAUCAUCAAACCCACAGACAGAGAGUAGAUUACCAACUGCUUAGAGCUGGAGGCAGUAGGAGAAAAUGGAGGCUUGAAUACAGACAUGAAUGAGGGAUUUUGUCGGCAGGUCAUAAUGAUCAUGUUCUAGAACUGUGGUGAUGGGCACGCACCUUGGAAUUACUACAACUACUGAAUUGUAAUAAAGGCUGAAUUUGGUGUGUGUGUAUGUGUGUGUUACAGCACAUAUGUGGAGAUCUGAGGACAACAUUCAGCAAGUGGUUCUGUCAUUCCACCCUCUGAGAAUUCCCCCAGGACAGUACACAUCUUCAAUUUUAAAAUGUUUUCUCGAAACCUUAAGGAUACAAAGUGAUAGCCCCCCCACCUCGUUCUAGUGGAGGUUGUUUCUUUUUGCAGAUGGUUGUCACUGCUGCCUCAGUCUGAACAUACAGUGAUGUCCCCGACCAUCUCAGCCUGCCCACACUUGCUGAUCCCUCGUUCCCGUUACCGUCUGCUUCGGCCGGGGCAGCAGCGUUAUCUCUUCUCAUUCAAAAUAUUUCUGUCCAGUGUUUGUGGAGAAGCUGUAUAUGUACAUCAGGAAAGUUUCAUUGCUAUUGGUUGUAAAAACAUGAAUUAAAAUCUGGAGCUGGAGAGAGGGCUCAACAGUAAAGAGU
rnacentral:sRNA from 1 species